rnacentral:other from 1 species
CAUCGCCUGCUUUGUGCGCCAAGCUGUUGUAGUCCUUGAGCCGAUAAUUUUAUCUCUGGGAAUUCUUGUUAGUUAAUGGUGUGCACGUCCGGCCAAGGUAUUUUAUCUUGGAUAUCGGAAAGCCUGAUUUAAUUACGGAAUUCCCCCCUGAACCUCCGGGUUCAUGGGCGAGACCAGCAAACGGCAAAGCGGGUGAUGA